CACGUAGGGGGGCGAGCGUUGUCCGGAUUUAUUGGGCGUAAAGAGCUCGUAGGCGGCUAAGUAAGUCGGGUGUGAAAACUCCAGGCUCAACCUGGAGACGCCACCUGAUACUGCUUUGGCUAGAGUCCGGUAGGGGAGCAUGGAAUUCCUGGUGUAGCGGUGAAAUGCGCAGAUAUCAGGAGGAACACCAGUGGCGAAGGCGGUGCUCUGGGCCGGAACUGACGCUGAGGAGCGAAAGCGUGGGGAGCAAACAGG
rnacentral:rRNA from 1 species